rnacentral:rRNA from 1 species
UACAGAGGGGGCGAGCGUUGUUCGGAAUUACUGGGCGUAAAGGGCGCGUAGGCGGCCCGCUAAGUCGAACGUGAAAUCCCCAGGCUUAACCUGGGAACUGCGUCCGAUACUGGCAGGCUUGAAUCCGGGAGAGGGAUGUGGAAUUCCAGGUGUAGCGGUGAAAUGCGUAGAUAUCUGGAGGAACACCGGUGGCGAAGGCGGCGACCUGGUCCUUGACUGACGCUGAGGCGCGAAAGCGUGGGGAGCAAACAGG